GACGAACGCUGGCGGCGUGCUUAACACAUGCAAGUCGUACGGGCCCGCCCCUGUUUUUGGGGGUGGGUUGAGUGGCGAACGGGUGAGUAUCACGUGAGUAACCUGCCCCCUGCUCCUGGAUAACUGCUUGAAAGGGCGGCUAAUACGGGGUGUGCCGGCUGGUCCGCAUGGGCCUGGUCGGGAUAGUUUCAUCUUCGGGUGUUUCGGUGGGGGAUGGGCUCGCGGCCUAUCAGCUUGUUGGUGGGGUGAUGGCCCACCAAGGCGGUGACGGGUAGCCGGCCUGGGAGGGUGGGCGGCCACACUGGGACUGGGACACGGCCCAGACUCCUGCGGGAGGCAGCAGUGGGGGGUAUUGCACAAUGGGCGGAAGCCUGAUGCAGCGACGUCGCGUGAGGGAUGGAGGCCUUCGGGUUGUGAACCUCUUUCUCCGGUGGUGAAGGCCCUGUCCGUUGCGGCGGGGUUGACGGUAGCCGGGUAUGAAGCGCCGGCUAACUACGUG
rnacentral:rRNA from 1 species